rnacentral:rRNA from 1 species
GACGAACGCUGGCGGCGUGCUUAACACAUGCUAGUCGAACGGAAAGGCCCUGCUUUUGUGGGGUGCUCGAGUGGCGAACGGGUGAGUAACACGUGAGUAACCUGCCUUUGACUUUGGGAUAACUUCAGGAAACUGGGGCUAAUACCGGAUAGGAGCUCCUGCUGCAUGGUGGGGGUUGGAAAGUUUCGGCGGUUGGGGAUGGACUCGCGGCUUAUCAGCUUGUUGGUGGGGUAGUGGCUUACCAAGGCAUUGACGGGUAGCCGGCCUGAGAGGGUGACCGGCCACAUUGGGACUGAGAUACGGCCCAGACUCCUACGGCAGGCAGCAGUGGGGAAUAUUGCACAAUGGGCGGAAGCCUGAUGCAGCAACGCCGCGUGCGGGAUGACGGCCUUCGGGUUGUAAACCGCUUUCGCCUGUGACGAAGCGUGAGUGACGGUAAUGGGUAAAGAAGCACCGGCUAACUACAUG